rnacentral:rRNA from 1 species
GGGGAGUACGGCCGCAAGGCUAAAACUCAAAGGAAUUGACGGGGACCCGCACAAGCGGCGGAGCAUGCGGAUUAAUUCGAUGCAACGCGAAGAACCUUACCAAGGCUUGACAUACACCAGAACACCGUAGAAAUACGGGACUCUUUGGACACUGGUGAACAGGUGGUGCAUGGUUGUCGUCAGCUCGUGUCGUGAGAUGUUGGGUUAAGUCCCGCAACGAGCGCAACCCUCGUUCUAUGUUGCCAGCACGUAAUGGUGGGAACUCAUGGGAUACUGCCGGGGUCAACUCGGAGGAAGGUGGGGAUGACGUCAAAUCAUCAUGCCCCUUAUGUCUUGGGCUUCACGCAUGCUACAAUGGCCGGUACAAAGGGCUGCAAUACCGUGAGGUGGAGCGAAUCCCAAAAAGCCGGUCCCAGUUCGGAUUGAGGUCUGCAACUCGACCUCAUGAAGUCGGAGUCGCUAGUAAUCGC